UACAGAGGUCUCAAGCGUUGUUCGGAUUCAUUGGGCGUAAAGGGUGCGUAGGCGGGUCUUUAAGUCAGGGGUGAGAUCCUGGAGCUCAACUCCAGAACUGCCUUUGAUACUGAGGAUCUUGAGUUCGGGAGAGGUGAGUGGAACUGCGAGUGUAGAGGUGAAAUUCGUAGAUAUUCGCAAGAACACCAGUGGCGAAGGCGGCUCACUGGCCCGAUACUGACGCUGAGGCACGAAAGCGUGGGGAGCAAACAGG
rnacentral:rRNA from 1 species